rnacentral:rRNA from 1 species
CUACGGGUUGCUUCAGUGGGGAAUAUUGGACAAUGGAGGCAACUCUGAUCCAGCAAUUCCGCGUGAAUGAUGAAGGUCUUCGGAUUGUAAAAUUCUUUUAGUUGGGAAGAUAGUGACGGUACCAACAGAAAAAGCACCGGCUAAUUACGUGCCAGCAGCCGCGGUAAGACGUAAGGUGCAAGCGUUAUCCGGAAUUACUAGGCGUAAAGGGCAUCUAGGCGGUUAAUUAAGUCAGAGGUGAAAAGUCAGGGCUCAACCUUGGCCUUGCCUUUGAUACUGGUUAACUAGAGUACGGGAGAGGAGGGCGGAACUACAAGUGUAGCGGUGAAAUGCGUAGAUAUUUGUAGGAAUGCCAAUGACGAAGGUAGCUCUCUGGACCGAUACUGACGCUAAAGUGCGAAAGCUAGGGGAGCAAACAGGAUUAGAUACCCGCGUAGUC